UACGUAGGUAGCAAGCGUUGUCCGGAAUGACUGGGCGUAAAGGGUGCGUAGGUGGUUUAGCAAGUUAGCAGUGAGAUUCCGAGGCUCAACUUCGGCGCUACUGCUAAGACUGUUGGACUUGAGCACAGGAGAGGUAAGUGGAAUUCCUAGUGUAGCGGUGGAAUGCGUAGAUAUUAGGAGGAACACCGGAGGCGAAAGCGACUUACUGGCCUGCAACUGACACUGAGGCACGAAAGCGUGGGGAGCAAAC
rnacentral:rRNA from 1 species